GUAGUCCACCCCGUAAACGUUGGGAACUAGUUGUGGGGUCCUUUCCACGGAUUCCGUGACGCAGCUAACGCAUUAAGUUCCCCGCCUGGGGAGUACGGCCGCAAGGCUAAAACUCAAAGGAAUUGACGGGGACCCGCACAAGCGGCGGAGCAUGCGGAUUAAUUCGAUGCAACGCGAAGAACCUUACCAAGGCUUGACAUACACGAGAACACCCUAGAAAUAGGGGACUCUUUGGACACUCGUGAACAGGUGGUGCAUGGUUGUCGUCAGCUCGUGUCGUGAGAUGUUGGGUUAAGUCCCACAACGAGCGCAACCCUCGUUCUAUGUUGCCAGCACGUAAUGGUGGGAACUCAUGGGAUACUGCCGGGGUCAACUCGGA
rnacentral:rRNA from 1 species